rnacentral:rRNA from 1 species
CGUGUAGGCGGUUUUUCAAGUCUGAUGUGAAAGACCUCAGCUCAACUGAGGGAACGCGUUGGAAACUGUAAGACUAGAAUCUAAGAGGGGAUACUGGAAUUUCUGGUGUAGGGGUGAAAUCUGUAGAUAUCAGGAAGAACACCGGUGGCGAAGGCGAGUAUCUGGCUAUAGAUUGACGCUGAGACGCGAAAGCGUGGGGAGCGAACAGGAUUAGAUACCCUGGUAGUCC